rnacentral:rRNA from 3 species
CCUACGGGAGGCAGCAGUAGGGAAUCUUCCACAAUGGACGAAAGUCUGAUGGAGCAACGCCGCGUGAGUGAUGAAGGUUUUCGGAUCGUAAAACUCUGUUGUAAGGGAAGAACAAGUACGUUAGGAAAUGAACGUACCUUGACGGUACCUUAUUAGAAAGCCACGGCUAACUACGUGCCAGCAGCCGCGGUAAUACGUAGGUGGCAAGCGUUGUCCGGAUUUAUUGGGCGUAAAGCGCGCGCAGGCGGUUUCUUAAGUCUGAUGUGAAAGCCCACGGCUUAACCGUGGAGGGUCAUUGGAAACUGGGAGACUUGAGUGCAGAAGAGGAAAGUGGAAUUCCAAGUGUAGCGGUGAAAUGCGUAGAGAUUUGGAGGAACACCAGUGGCGAAGGCGACUUUCUGGUCUGCAACUGACGCUGAGGCGCGAAAGCAUGGGGAGCAAACAGGAUUAGAUACCCUGGUAGUCCAUGCCGUAAACGAUGAGUGCUAAGUGUUAGGGGGUUUCCGCCCCUUAGUGCUGCAGCUAACGCAUUAAGCACUCCGCCUGGGGAGUACGACCGCAAGGUUGAAACUCAAAGGAAUUGACGGGGGCCCGCACAAGCGGUGGAGCAUGUGGUUUAAUUCGAAGCAACGCGAAGAACCUUAC